ACUGAACCUGCUAUUGGACAUCGGCCAUUGAACCAGUGUUAUUGUACAUACUGUUUUAUGAACAAGUAAAGAAACAUUUGUGAAAUGAUGGGGUUGGAGCUUUCUUAAUGAAUCCAUUGUAGUGUUCAGCCAUUUAUUUUUACUCAAAAGCUUAUGAAACAUAUUUCUCUUUUUUUACAAAGCAUGGAUGUAUGAAGAUUUUUUCAAAUUAAAAAUUGACAGAAAUUACAUACACUCUUGACUACUUCAGAGACAAUUUCAUAUAAAUAUUUAUUAUAACAACCCAUUGCUUGAUCUUUGCUUAUAUUUUUCCAAAUGCCAUUCAUAGGAGUGUAUUGUGUAAGUACACUAGUCCUAUGUCAGUGAAAUAGUUUCAAAAUGAUGAUACACGUGGACAUUGAUUAUGAAUUGCUGGGUUUUAUUUUUACUUUGUGUUAUAAAUGCAGGUGCUUAGUUACUAGGAUGAUCUGUGUGAACAUUGUCAUGAAACUUGAACAAAUGUCGGUACUUAACGAUUUACACAUAAAAUCAAAACCUGUGUUCAUGCAAAUUAUUUAUUUAUAUAUUAAAGUCAUGUUUUUGAAACAUGUCAGAAGAUAUCAUUGUAUGUAGAAUUCAAGUACAAAUGUAUUUAUAUUUUUUUAUAGUUGAUUUGAAGAGAACAUGUGACAAGUACUGUAAACCAACUUCUAUUCGCGAAGACAUUAUUUCGCGAUUUACUGAACACAAACUGGUUCGCGACGACUAAUUUUUUGCAAGAAGCUUUAUAAAGACUACUGUUGUUAUAACAACCAUACGACAAUGGCUGGUUUGCUGCUAGAAAUAUUCUCGACAAACCUUAGAAAAUUUCUCACUCGCGAAUAAAAGUUGGUUUGUGGUACUUUUCCAUGUAUUUCUGAUUGCAGUUAAUUAUUCAAGAUGUUUUGCUUGGUUUAGUACUAGACUGCGUACGAAAAGUGCUUAUUUAACUAACAAAAAGUUGUUAUUUCUUGACAGUAAAUGUACAUAUAUUACCACAAUGUAAACACAAAUUCAAAACAGAAACCUUUGAAACAUGUCAGGACAUGCAUUUCACUUUUACAUCGUAAUUUUAAGGGAAAAAAAGCAUUUUUUGGGGAUUAUAUAUCUUCAAUAUAAUAAAUCUAAUUUAGUUUUACAAAUGCCAAACUUACACAGAUUACGUUAUCUUCAUGUAUAUGUUUUCUGCAAUAUUACUAUUACUAUACUGAUAGUCAUGAUUCAUGCAAAGUUUGAUGAACGAUUGUCCAUUAUUAUUUAUAUGUGUAUCUCAGUAUGAAAUUUACGUGUACCUUAACAAUUGAUGGACAUGAUAAUUCCAUGUGUUGAUAGUUGUUGGGAAAAGUUGUUAUAACUAUUAUUAACAAAUGGAACAGAUUUGCAAAAAAAAAAUAAAAUUUCUUAAGCAUUUUGCAGAUCUUUCUGUGCAAUAUAGAAUGAUUUGAAGUUGCUUGUACCCAGUAGUUUAACAUGAAUCCUGCUAUUUGAUGUGUGUACAGAAAAUUAUUAUACAUUCCUCCAGGGUCAGAGAUUACUCUUUGUUCUAGCCAUAUUAAACUGUUAUAUCUUUGUCUGAUGUAAAAUGGAUUUUUUUUUAGAUGAGAUUAUAAUCAUGUUUUUCAUUGUUAUGUAUACUAACUUUUUUAUUACACCUUUUAAUUAAUUCAUUUCCGAUUGGGCUUUCUUUAAAACAGAACUGAUUGAUAAGUUAAUUAUAAUAUGCUUAUAUAGAUUAUCUGUUUUAACGUGUACUUAAUAUUUUGAUAGUCCUUUAAGUUUGAUAAAUAAAUGAUGCAAUUUUUUCUUAAAAUUAGAAAAAGUUUAUACUGAUAAUGAAAAAUAAAAUGAAAAUGUAUGAAAACAGAAAUAAACAACAUUCAUCAGCG
rnacentral:sRNA from 1 species